CUGAAUGAUGAAAAACAGGUGUUGUUGCAGAUUGAGCAGAAAAUGACGUUGCAUAAGGUCGGCCUGUGGAGUCUAGAA